UUUUAUUUUGUGAGGAAGUUCCUCGCGCUUCCGGAGUUCUGUCUGUUAUUUCAAACUAAACACCGCGAGACAGACACGAAUAAUAACAGCAUAAACAGAACAAAUAUCAUAAAAUACAUAACAUGAGAAGAUUUAUGUUUGAUAUGGACGUGAAGGAUCAAAAAGAGGAUGUUAUUCGUCGUUUAAUCAUGUAGUGUGGGUUUAUGAGCGUCAUAUGGCUUCUCUGGUGGAUUAUGAGGACUCUGACAGCGAGACGGAUCAGGAUCUUCAGGGUAAUUAAUGACAGAAAAGACGGAAAACUGGAUGCAGCUAAACACAGAGAUAUCUUUAAUAAAACCCUGUUUCUGAGCGCUCAGAUCCUCAGACUGGACUGAGAGGUCACCUCUCGAUGAAACAAUCACCCUUCACACAAUGUCCUCGAGCUCAGACUCAAUCAGACAUCUUUGGAGAACCCACAACCUGAGCUUGAGAUGAUCUGAAGAGAAGAAUGGCAAAAAAUAAACACAUGCAGAUGUUUUGCGCCCUGAAACUGCAUGCGUUGCCAAAGGCAUUUUAACUAAGUUUUAAUUUAAGGGUAUGAAUACUUGUGCAAUGUCAUUCUUUUUCUUUUUAAUACAUUUUCCGAAGUUGUGAUAAAUCAGUUUUUUGUUUUAUAUAUGGUGAGUUUAAACCAGUUUAACAUAAGGCUGCAACAUCAAAAAAUGCGAGACAAAAUGAAGGGGUGUACAUAUUUUUUUAUAGGCACUGUGGUGCUGAAACCCUGUUGUAACUCUUCGAUUUUCCAAGAUGCAGCGUUCUCCACGUAAACUUGGUGAGGCAGACCAAACCCUGAGUUGCAGAGUCUUGAAACUUUCAGCUGGCCUCAUGGAGGCGCUACAGCGGCCAGAAGAUUCAGAUCCAUCAUAGCUCCAAACUUUAUGAAGACUUACACAGGUUCAGAUGUCUUGUAUUGUUGAAAUCCUUGGCUCAAGACAAACAGCACGCCUCAGAUUCACUUGUUUCUCCAGAUAAAUUUUUGGAAAAACUUUGUGAGCUAGUCCUAGGUUUAGGAGUACUGCCAAAUUUUCAUUAGUUGUGUUUACAUGAAGCUUUGUAAUCAGUCCAAACCAAAUGAAAAUGCUCCAUCAAUCAA